rnacentral:rRNA from 1 species
GUCCACGCCGUAAACGAUGUCUACUAGUUGUCGGGGGACUUGAUCCUUUGGUAACGAAGCUAACGCGAUAAGUAGACCGCCUGGGGAGUACGGCCGCAAGGUUAAAACUCAAAUGAAUUGACGGGGGCCCGCACAAGCGGUGGAGCAUGUGGUUUAAUUCGAAGCAACGCGAAGAACCUUACCUACUCUUGACAUCCUGCGAACUUGGUAGAGAUACCUUGGUGCCUUCGGGAGCGCAGUGACAGGUGCUGCAUGGCU